rnacentral:rRNA from 1 species
ACUGGGAGUAAUACCGUAUACGCCCUUUGGGGGAAAGAUUUAUCGGAGAAGGAUCGGCCCGCGUUGGAUUAGGUAGUUGGUGGGGUAAUGGCCCACCAAGCCGACGAUCCAUAGCUGGUUUGGGAGGAUGAUCAGCCACACUGGGACUGAGACACGGCCCAGACUCCUACGGGAGGCAGCAGUGGGGAAUCUUAGACAAUGGGGGCAACCCUGAUCUAGCCAUGCCGCGUGAGUGAUGAAGGCCUUAGGGUUGUAAAGCUCUUUCAGCUGGGAAGAUAAUGACGGUACCAGCAGAAGAAGCCCCGGCUAACUCCGUGCCAGCAGCCGCGGUAAUACGGAGGGGGCUAGCGUUGUUCGGAAUUACUGGGCGUAAAGCGCACGUAGGCGGACUGGAAAGUCAGAGGUGAAAUCCCAGGGCUCAACCUUGGAACUGCCUUUGAAACUAUCAGUCUGGAGUUCGAGAGAGGUGAGUGGAAUUCCGAGUGUAGAGGUGAAAUUCGUAGAUAUUCGGAGGAACACCAGUGGCGAAGGCGGCUCACUGGCUCGAUAC